rnacentral:rRNA from 1 species
GAUGAACGCUGGCGGCGUGCCUAAUACAUGCAAGUCGAGCGAACAGACGAGGAGCUUGCUCCUCUGACGUUAGCGGCGGACGGGUGAGUAACACGUGGAUAACCUACCUAUAAGACUGGGAUAACUUCGGGAAACCGGAGCUAAUACCGGAUAAUAUAUUGAACCGCAUGGUUCAAUAGUGAAAGACGGUUUUGCUGUCACUUAUAGAUGGAUCCGCGCCGCAUUAGCUAGUUGGUAAGGUAACGGCUUACCAAGGCAACGAUGCGUAGCCGACCUGAGAGGGGGAUCGGCCACACUGGAACUGAGACACGGUCCAGACUCCUACGGGAGGCAGCAGUAGGGAAUCUUCCGCAAUGGGCGAAAGCCUGACGGAGCAACGCCGCGUGAGUGAUGAAGGUCUUCGGAUCGUAAAACUCUGUUAUUAGGGAAGAACAAAUGUGUAAGUAACUAUGCCCGUCUUGACGGUACCUAAUCAGAAAGCCACGGCUAACUACGUG